rnacentral:pre_miRNA from 1 species
AAUAACCUCAUUUUUCGUUUUUACGUGUCAACGUCUAACAAUUCGUCUUAUUUGAAUUUUUUUGCGAUUAAUAUUUUUAUUGUUACUAGAUGAUAAAAUAUGAAUAUUAUUUUAUACGUGACUAAUUUUUUAAAAUUUUUAUACAAAAUUUUAAAAUAAAACAAAUGGUCAAACAUUGGACACGGAGAAAC